ensembl:lncRNA
CAGACAUAUGAUGGACCAUGUGGUGUCCCUCCCUUAGAGGUUAUUCAAAUCUACAAGCAACACGUUUUGUACAUCCAUCCAAUAUUUUAUUGAAUAAAAGCCCAAACACAAACCUUUACAAAUUGAUAUCAAUCAAUAUAGAAAUCAUUGAUUGAAAACAUUGCAAAUGUUCACUGUUAAAAAUGUAUGUAUCCCACAUGGUUUUCGUUUUUUUUUUUAAACGAUUUGGUGCUAUUUUCACAAAUAUGUACAGAACCCCAAACUGGUAACACUUGUAAUGCAGCCAGUCUUAUAUUCAAAUCCUUUCAAUAUUAAUGUAUUUGGUUUGUAGACAUCGUUCACUACACAACCAUUAAUUCAAAAUAUAAGUUUACUGUGAAAUAAGAACAUUGGUUUAAUCACCAAAACACAACCUAAUGACAUCUCCUUAAUUUAGUUAUUUUAACCAAUUAAUCCAAAAACACGUUUAAGAUACGUUUCAAUUUGCUCUUUGAAUGUAGUAUGCUCCAGUAGUGUAAAUUACAGUACAUGACACUGUUUCACAUUCGGCAAUACACUUGCACUACCCAUUAAAAUGAACUGGACUUGAAAUGUCAAUAACUUCUAUCCCAUGUCUGAUCAUUGAAGACAUGGGAUAGACAUGGGGAACUCUGGUAAUCUUUCAUAAGGUAAUCAAAGGAAAGAAAAGUUUAAGGCGUUAGAUUGCAUCAAACCUGUCUGGAACAUUUGUCCGUAGGUUCUCAUCGAAAUCACAGUAAAUAUCCUAAUUGUUCAUGCACCAGGCCUGAUAUAGGUCUGGAUUGACGUCAUUGCAUGAGUCAUCCAUGGCCUAGAGGGUGGUGGUUCGCUCGUGGGGGUGGAAGUGUCUUCCACGUGUACAGGUGUACUUAAUGUAUUGUACUCAAGUGUACUUAAUGUAUUGUAGUGGUUCUGUACGUGUCUGUUUUUUUUACCUUUAUUUAACUAGGCAAGUCAGUUAAGAACAAAUUCUUAUUUUCAAUGGCAACAGUGGGUUAACUACCUGUUCAGGGGCAGAACGACAGAUUUGUACCUUGUCAGCUCGGGGGUUUGAACUUGCAACCUUCUGGUUACUAGUCCAAUGCUCUAACCACUGCCGUCACUAUAGUUCAUAAGAGCAUGGCACUAGCAACACCAGAGGUGUGGGUUCCAUUCCUACUGGGAUCACGUACCAAAAAGUGGACUGUUGUCGCUUUUGGUAAAAGUGUUUGCUGUGUAAAUGGACCGUACUACCCAAUGCUAUUUUAGUGAAGCAUUUAUUUAUUGUUAAGGACUUUCUGGAUUAUUUGCGUAUUGGCAUUGUAUUACUGCAACGCAGGAGCUAGAAACACAAGCAUUUCGCUGCGCCUGCUGUGACAUCCGCUAAUCUGUGUACGCGACCAAUAAACUUUUUAAUUUGUAACAUAUAGUACGUCUGACUUUGUCAAUAUCAGAUUUGUUUUACUUACUGUGAAGUAAAAUCAUAAUAAUAAUACAUAGUUACUUACGUUUCUACAGACAUCCAUUGUCAUUAUUUAGUUCUCAAAAUCUGUAGUAGACAAAAUGUAAAAUCGAUCCAUUUACCAAACGUUCCGUAGGUUUAAUCAAACGUUCCAUUGGUUUAAUCAAACGUUCCAUGGGUUUAAUCAAACGUUCCAUGGGUUUAAUCAAACGUUCCGUAGGUUUAAUCAAACGUUCCGUAGGUUUAAUCAAACGUUCCAUGGGUUUAAUCAAACGUUCCAUGGGUUUAAGUGAUCCCUGAUAAAGAGCAGUUGGAUUAUGUAAUAGGAAAACCUCUUAAAAGAGAAUCAUACCUAAAGUAAUGUGAGCAUUGAGAAAAGCAAUGACUGUAUAUGAACAUGUAUUGCAAUGUGAAACAUGCAUUUCUAGAUGAAACUGAUUAAAUUUGGUGUAAAAAUAAAGUGACUGUUGUACUUAGUCAAUUGAAAAUGUGCUUAGUUUUGAAACGGGCUUUUUGAUGAUCUGUUUCGAAUUUCGUAUUAAGAGUUGUGGAAAUAUACCACAUACAUGUGAAAAUUGCACCAAUGAGAUUUAAAAAAUAAAAUAAAAAACAUUUUAAACCAACCCCAAAUCCUCACCUAGCCCAAACCACAGAAUUAUCUCCAAAAGAAAGCUGGAUGGAUCUUGGAUGGUUGGUGUAGAUUCAAGGGGUCUCAAAAGAAGAGACAUUUCCCAAAAGGCCCUGCAGCUCUACUCGUCUUAUAAUCUAUUCAGAUGGAAAAGUACAUAGAUGUGGCUGUUAUCUUUUGUACAUCUUUUAAAAACUUAAAAGCGUGCCAUGGUUCCGCUAUAAAAUGACCUAGUUUUCAAGAUUAUAUUGACUGCAUCUCAAAUGCCACCCUAUAUAGUGCAGUACUACCCUGGUCAAAAGUAGUGCACUAGGCCUAUAUAGGGAAUAGGGUUCCAUUUGAGAGAUAGCUACUCUUUCCCUGAACUUAUUAACCCCCCCAAUAACUGCCCUGCAUUUACAAUCAAAACAAACUAAAGCCACUCAAAUUUAGCUACCAAACAUGUAUGCAAAUUAAUUAACUGGCAAAAGCAUAAAAGUUCAGUGGUCGCCGUGGUUUCUAUUCUGAGUGACAACACAUUCCACCUGUCGUUCAUAGAGGCCUUCAAUUUUAAAAAAAUAUUUUAAAAAAAAGGUCCCCAAGAAUAUCGUCUAUGCCCAAACGGUACCCUAGGGAAUAGGUUGCCAUUUUGGGCUGAACCCUAUAUCCUACAGGUCGCUUGGCAUGGCAAAGAUUUUAUAAAACGAUAUAAAGGGGGAAUAGACCUUUCUCAAAGGUGCAUCCAUUCAUCCCAACAAAAUCAAACUCCAGAUCAAACUAUACAGGUUAAAAAUGUCAAAUUAAAAUCAACAAAGCAUCAGGUGCUUAUUCAGCAGGAUGAUAAUACAUUUCAGAACAAAUUGCAGAUUGAACAGACGUGCACGUUUCAAGCCUGGACUUGAAAUCUGUGUAUAUUCUACAUUGGUUUGUUAAUGUUUCACUCCACUGAAUGAGUCCCAGGUGUACAUGGCUUUCAGAGAAUAAGCUACCCUCAGUGCUCUCAGCACCACAACCCUGAAUCCUUCCCCGGCUCAUUCUUUUUGUUGUCAUUAUAGGGUAUGUCCAAAACACCAUCUUACUCCCUAUACAGUGCACUACAUUUGCCAGGAGGGUGGGGGAACCAGGAGCCCUAUUGGGGGGGGAGGGAAAACCAGGAGCCCUAUUGGGGGG